GCUCCCUAGCCUGCCGGCCUUCCCACCCGACCUCUUUUCUGUUCGUCCCCCCUCCCCCUAUCGCAUCGUCUUCUUCUCGCCUACUGGCUCCUUGCCUCCUCUGCCCCCGUCCUUCUCUUCCCUCCGCCGCGUUCUCCCUUCCUCCUCUUACCCCGUAUCCGCAUCACGCGCCUCGCCGCCCUGUCGGUGCCUUACAAGCCGGUCCACCGUCAGAGGAGGAGGAUUCGUGGAGGACAGGAUGGAGGUGGGUGAGAUGGACGACGUGCAGGCGGUGGGAGAGCAGGUCAUCAGCAGCAGGGGCGGCUCCGUGCUCGGGAAGAAGACCAUCCUCAAAAGUGAUCACUUCCCCGGCUGCCAGAACAAGCGCCUCACCCCGCACAUCGACGGCGCGCCCAAUUACCGGCAGGCAGGAUCACUGCGUGUUCACGGUGUUGCAAUGCCGACAAUGGAAGGAAUUGUGAAUGUGCUAAAUCAUAUUGGGGCACAAAAGAAGGGAAAGCAAACCCGAGUUCUAUGGCAUAGUCUUCGAGAGGAACCAGUUAUCUAUAUCAAUGGUCGCCCUUUUGUUCUACGAGAUGCCGAAAGACCCUUCUCAAACCUUGAAUAUACGGGAAUCAACCGGGAGAGAGUCGAGCAGAUGGAGUUUCGUUUGAAAGAAGAUAUUCUUCAGGAAGCUUCAAGAUAUGGGAAUAAGAUCCUAGUUACUGAUGAGCUGCCGAAUGGUCAGAUGGUGGACCAGUGGGAGUCAGUGAUGUCUGAUACAGUUAAGACUCCACUUGAGGUCUAUGAGGAGUUACAACAUCAAGGAUACCUUGUUGAUUACGAGCGUGUUCCUAUAACUGAUGAAAAAGCUCCGAAAGAAGGGGAUUUUGAUAACCUGGUACAUCGAAUCUCUCAAGUUGAUAUGGAGACUGAAAUUGUAUUCAAUUGUCAAAUGGGGAGGGGACGGACUACUACCGGCAUGGUCAUAUCUACGUUAGUUUACCUAAAUCGGAUAGGAGCUUCAGGUAUCCCAAGGACAAGUUCAAUUGGGAAGGUUUUCUAUGCUGGAAAUGAUGUAGAUGACUACAGUCCUAGCUCAGAAGAAGCAAUUCUCAGAGGAGAAUAUGCUGUCAUUAGGAGCUUAGUCCGAGUUCUGGAGGGUGGUGUUGAAGGCAAAAGACAAGUGGACAAAGUUAUUGAUAAAUGUGACUCUAUGCAGAACCUGAGAGAAGCUAUUGCGACCUACCGCAAUAGCACUCUUCGGCAACCUGAUGAGAUGAAACGGGAGGCAUCACUUUCCUUCUUUGUGGAGUACUUGGAACGUUAUUACUUCCUCAUAUGUUUUGCUGUCUAUGUACAUUCGGUGAGCUCCGCUCACCAAGCAACAUCUUCAGGAGUUCAUUUUUCUGACUGGAUGAGAGCAAGACCUGAACUGUACAGUAUUCUUCGAAGGCUGCUGAGGAGAGAUCCAAUGGGCGCUCUUGGUUAUUCAAGCUCAAAACCCACUCUUCCAAAAAUUAUUGAAUCUGCUGACGGGCGCCCACAUGAGAUGGAUGUUGUUGCUGCCAUGAGGAAUGGAGAAGUUCUUGGACGUCAAACUGUUUUAAAAAGUGAUCACUGUCCAGGGUGUCACAAUCUUAAUUUGCCUGAAAGAGUUGACGGUGCACCUAAUUUCCGGGAAAUUCCGGGGUUUUCAGUCUAUGGUGUUGCAAAUCCUACUGUUGAUGGCAUUCGGGCUGUUAUUCAGCGAGUUAGUACAAGCAAGGGAAACCGGCCGAUACUCUGGCAUAAUAUGAGAGAAGAGCCCGUCAUUUAUAUACAUGGAAAGCCUUUUGUGCUACGAGAAGUAGAAAGACCGUACAAGAAUAUGCUGGAGUACACGGGGAUUGGUCGUGAUAGAGUUGAGCGUAUGGAAGCUCGGUUGAAGGAGGAUAUUUUACGAGAAGCAGAACGGUAUGAUGGGGCAAUAAUGGUUAUUCAUGAAACCGACAAUGGUGAGAUCUUUGAUGCAUGGGAAAAUGUCAAUAAUGAAGCUGUUCUGACUCCACUGGAGGUAUACAAAUGUUUGGACUCUGAAGGCCUUCCAAUCAAAUAUGCACGAGUGCCCAUUACCGAUGGUAAGGCCCCCAAAAGUUCAGAUUUUGAUACGGUAGCCUUUAAUGUCGCAGCUGCUUGCAAGGAUGCUGCUCUUGUAUUCAACUGCCAGAUGGGCAGGGGCAGAACAACUACUGGUACUGUGAUUGCUUGCCUGCUCAGACUUCGAAUCAAUCACGGCAGACCUAUUGGAAUGCCAGCCAUCCAAAAUAAUCAUGAAGAUACAACUGAUGCCGAUUACUCAAGCGGAGAAGAAACAAUGGACCACAAUGGUCACUUGAAUUCAGAAUCAUGGAAACCUCACACUUUGACAGAGCUACACCCUAGAUUUGACAUUAAUGACAUCCUUCUGUUGCGAAAGAUUACAAGGCUAUUUGACAAUGGGAUUGAGUGUAGACAGAUUUUAGAUACUGUUAUUGACAAGUGUUCAGCUUUGCAGAACAUUCGCCAAGCUGUUUUGCAAUACACAAAGGUGAUUAAUCAACAAAAUCUGGAGCCAAGAGUUAGGAGAGUCGCAUUAAAUCGUGGUGCUGAAUAUUUGGAGAGGUACCUGAAAUUAAUUGCAUUCUCAGCAUACCUCGGGAGUGAAGCAUUUGAUGGUUUCUGCGGGCAAGGAGAAACAAAGAUCUCAUUUAAAAAUUGGCUGCAACAGCGUCCGGAGAUCCAAACCAUGAAAUGGAGCAUAAGACUGCGACCUGGGCGUUUUUUCACUGUACCUGAUGAGCAUAAAGCAACAUGUCAACCUCUGCAAAGUGAUGUAACGAUGGAGGCCAUCGUGAAAGCCCGUAAUGGUUCUGUUCUGGGAAAGGGAUCCAUACUCAAAAUGUAUUUCUUUCCUGGGCAGAGAAGGUCAAGCAGCAUGAACUUCCGUGGUACACCACAUGUUAUCAAGGUGGAUGGAUACCCUGUGUAUAGCAUGGCAACACCAACUGUUGAUGGAGCUAGAGAAGUUCUGUCGUAUUUGGGCUGUAAGGAUACAACUGGAAGAGACAUUAUUCAGAAGGUGGUCAUCACGGAUCUUAGGGAGGAAGUGGUAGUUUACAUCAAGGGAACACCGUUUGUUUUGAGAGAGUUAGAUCAACCUGUUGAUACACUGAAGCAUGUGGGCAUAAGUGGCCCAAUGGUAGAGAACAUAGAGGCAAGGCUGAAGGAGGAUAUACUUUCUGAAGUUAAACAGCUAGAAGGUCGGCUGCUUCUGCAUCAAGAAGAAUUUAACACAGCCACAAAUCAAUGCAGUGUAUUAGGUUAUUGGGAGCACAUAGAUCUGGAGGACGUAAUGACACCGGCUGAAGUGUACAGCACAUUGAGGGAUCAGGGGUAUUGUAUUGACUACAAAAGGAUACCUCUGACCAGGGAAAGAGAAGCAUUAGCUGCUGAUGUUGAUUCAAUACAAUCAUCAAUCAAUGAAUCUUCUAGGUACUAUCUCUUUGUUUCACACACGGGAUAUGGUGGUGUUGCUUAUGCAAUGGCCAUUACAUGCCUGAGACUUGGUGCAGAUGCAAAGUUUGUCAUGGAACAAACAGCAGAAACACACUUCGUAUCAAGUUCUCUUACAAAAAGUGUACCUGUGAAAACCUUCACUGACAUAGCCCUCAGGCAGGGGGACUACCGUGACAUACUAAACCUUACUAGAGCACUGAUACAUGGUCCUAAAAGCAAAGAAGAGGUUGACAAAGUUAUUGACAGAUGUGUUGGUGCUGGGGAUUUGCGGGAGGAUAUUUUGCAAUACAGGAAGGCAUUGCGAGAUUGUUCACAUGAUGAUGAUGAUGAUGAGGCACGGUCAUAUCUCAUGGAUAUGGGGACUAAAGCUUUGAGGUUGACUCGGCUGGGUCUCGUUCGGCUGGAUCAGACCUUCUCGCUUGGGUCGCUGCUUCCUCUCAUUAGUUUGGGCUGAACCGAUUGCUUGGUGUUUAAAGAAAAGAUUAUAUAAAAAAGCAGUUUCUGGUGAGGUCUCCUGUCCGCCGCAUCCAGUUCUUCCUGUGGCUCCUACUCCGCCAACAUCACAGGCUAUUGCUGCGGAUGCUCCUCAAGCUGCUAAGGACGCUGCUAAGCUUGCUGAUGAGACUGCGGAUCAUGCUUAUGAGCAGCAGGAGCAUGCUCUUCAGCAGGGUGACUCCAUUGUUGAUGAUUCCUACGCAUAGAGUUCUGCUAUCUAGCGCCGGCUUGACUCUCUUCACUGCUGGUUGUCCUACUUGCCAGUGUUGCCAGGCUGUGUGGCCAGACUUGGAGUUUCAUCGUGUCUACGAGUUCUUGUCUCAACUUCAUAAGGAGUUUGAGCCAUGGCGGUGGCAUGCUGAGUUGUUUGCUCGUGGCUGUAUUUCAUGAGAUACGGGCGGAGGAGACUCGCCUUUGUGGGGCAGGUUUACUUGAUGUUCCCUCUGUGCUUGAGCUCUUUCUACGCCGUCUGCUACACCGUUGUUUUUCCGCUCCAGUGCUCCGCCACUCCACUCUUGGUGGCGAGGAUCGCUCUCGUACUCAUUGUGGCUACUACAGGGAUGGUCACCUCGAGCCUGAUUGGUUCUUGAAGAAGCGACAUCUACGCCAGGCACGCAUAACAACUUCAGAGAUUUGUCCUUGACUCAGCAGGAUAUUGUGCGACUUAAGCGUCUGGUUGCAACUUCGGGUUCUAAAUCAAUAGAUUAUAUCGGUCUUGCUGCUGACUCUUCUAGCUCAGAGAAACCACCCUCUUCACAGUUAGGAGCACAACACAAGAGCUCUGCUUGGUUUUGGCCUUCGUCUCUAUGAUUUUUCUUUCACGCCAUCGCAUCUAUAGUCUAGUAUGUGCUAUCUAGUUUUCUAUAUUUUCGCUGCGUCCACCAAGUCUGUUGCUCUUUUUCGUGUUUCUCAUGUCAUGCGAGUCCACGAUACCUUUAUCCGUCAGCCUUUUGUCCUUGUCCUUUCUAUAGGAUUUUUGUGGCCUCCUUUUGGAUUGUCGAUCUACACCCAUUCUCUUGCCGCCGAGCUUCUUUCGCCGCCGGUUUUCUUGGGCUAUGAGUUUUUGCACAAUGUUUCAUUCUCUUGAUGUACCAUUUUCUUUUGACAACCCAUCUUCUCUUGUAUCUUCUACCGAUGCGGUGUCUUCCUUUGAUGCGGCAUCUUCUUUGUUAUUUAUCCCCUUUGGCUUGACUCAACAGGUUAUUAAGACUCUAAAUGCUAUGACAAAACUGUCAGGACAUAAUUUAAGGAGUAUUAGUAUUGUCUAGGAGUCCUUAUUAGGCUAUGUUUCCUUCCUUGUACCCCAAGUCUUGUGUACUAUAUACUCCCUCCGUUCCUAAAUAUAAGUCUUUUUAGAGAUUUCAAUAAGAACUACAUAUGGAUGUAUAUAGACAUAUUUUAGAGUGUAGAUCCUCUCAUUUUGCUCCGUAUGUAUGUCAGUACUAGCGCACUUACAGCAGUCAUCAAGCAAAGGACAAGGAAGAUCAGCGCCAAGAAGAAAGUAGAGAAAAUGAGCAUGUGAUUCAAAUCGAGUGUUGGGCUGAAAGGGUAGCGUGUGUAAGUGUGGGCCAUGGGCCGGCCCAGUCAUGUAAGUGAGUCGUGCGUAUAUAAGCAAUGGUCGACUACUGUAGCAAGGCAUCGAUGAUAUAAAAUUUAUUCUGAACCUCUCGUUCUCUCUUAUCCUCUCUGUAUCGUCUUCUACCUUCCGACCUUCCCUCUCUGCCUCCGAUCUAGAUCCGCCUCCUCUACCAGACUUAGGUCGCCGGAGAGAUCCUGCCGUCCCUAGGGCUUGACAAUCUGGUAUCAUAGCCGUCGCUCCGCUCGGGCCCAACUUUUUUCCCGAAUCGUACCUACCAAAUCCGAGGCGACGGUCGUGGAUCCCCUCGGGUUGAUCUGCAUAAUUCCCGACCUGAGGUGUUGAUUUGGGAACGAAUCGCGACCACGACGACAAUCAAGCUGAACCCGCAGACGCGCUUCCUCGUGUACGAGAUGGAGGCGCUACAGGAGCAGAUAUUACAGGAGUUCGCCGAGCUGCCGCGGCGCAGAGCAAGCUCACGGUCGUCGACGGCAUCUGCGCACAGCUCGAGGCUCUCGACGCCAAGCUCACAGAGCAGUCCGCCCGUCUCGACCAGGUUCAGGUGAAGGUAAAUCUCUUGUGUGACACGCUGGGAAAGGUUCAGCAGGAACAGGCACAUGUUGCACAGCUGGGGAAGCAACCGAUGCACCCAGGAAUUGGAGAGAGUUCAUCCCCCACAACAUCAAAGGUGCCGGACGGCUCACUAGGUGCCAUGCCGGGUCUUUCACAACGGGCGCCCCUGCGUUUUUCUCAGCAGAGUGCUUACCAUACCAUACAUGGGAACAGUUUUGUGUAGCAGUUCUGCAGGAAUUUGAUGUCAACAUCCACAGGGAAAGGAUGAAGGAGUUGAUGUUGCUUAACAAGGGGGCACAGUGGAGGAAUACAAGCAACAGUUUCAGCAACUUGUAUAUCACAUCAGGCUAUACGAGCCCACCAUCAGCAAUACUUUCCUGGUCACUCGCUUUGUCAUGGGGUUGAAGGAGGAACUGUGCUUGACUGUGGAAAUGCAACUUCCAGCAACGGUUCAGUUGGCUGCUAUGUAUGCUACAGUGCAAGAGGGGCUGGUGCAUCAGCAGAAGUCUCUAAAGUCCACCUAUCAAAAAAAUUCAGUUCCAAGGAAUGAUAACAGACAUAAUUUUGUUCCUAUUGAAUUAUGGAAAGCCAAGCAACUGAAGGAUUAUUGGCGUGCAAAUGGACUAUGUUAUGGGUGUGGAGAGAAAUAUGUGCCAGGUCAUGCAUGUAAACCACCAACUGCUCCUGCAGCUCAACUGAAAGCAGCAGAGUUAGUGGACCCUCAUGAACUCAUAUCAGAUGCUGUGUUGGAUGCACUAGUGGACAAUUAUCAGGAAGAAUGUGCCACAAUCUCGGACACAGUUCUGUCUGGGGCCUCACACCCUAAAACCAUACAAUUGAGAGCUCUGAUAGGAAAUCAGGUGGUGCUGAUACUCAUUGACUCUGGUAGUACUCACACCUUUGUGGAUCAAGCACUCUUGGACAGAGUUUCGGUGCCUGCACAGAAAAUGCAGAAACCCAUGCAAGUAAAAGUAGCAAAUGAAGGUCUGGUGGACUGUACCAAGUUUGUGCCUAAGCUAACUUGGUGGAUUCAAGGGCAUAGUUUUUCAAGUGCCAUGCAAAGGAUAUGAUAUCAUCUUAGGUAUGGAUUGGCUGGAACAGUGGGGAGUGAUGUAGUGUCAUUGGGCUGGGAAGUGGAUUCAGUUUGAAUAUCAGCAACAAACUGUGAGAUUGCAGGGAGUACUACCUGCUAAAGCAGAACCUAUUAAGGAGGUCUCUGUGGAGCAAUUGAGAAAAUGGGAAAAAGGAAAUGACAUCUGGGCAACUGCUAUGUUGCAUCAUAUUGUGGUUAGUCCACAAUCCCAAAUACCUGAAGAAGUUCAGCAAGUUCUACAAGCAAACAAAGCUGCUUUCAAUGAUCCUAAAACAUUGCCUCCACAAAGAGAUUUUGAUCAUGAAAUACCUCUAGUACCUGGUGCAGUUCCUGUCAACUGCAGGCCCUACAGAUACUCACCUCAGCAAAAAGAUGAAAUUGAGCGACAAGUAGCUGAAAUGCUACAGGCAGGGCUCAUUACCCCCAGUUUAAGCCCUUUUGCGUCUCCUGUGUUGUCAGUCAAGAAAAAGGAUGGCACCUAGAGAUUUUGUGUGGAUUACUGGAGAUUGAAUGAGGUAACUAUCAAAAACAAAUUUCCACUGCCUGUGAUUGAUGAGUUGUUGGAUGAACUAGGAGGAGCUAAAUGGUUUUUCAAACUGGACCUUAGGUCAGGUUACCACCAAAUUAGAAUGGCUGAAGCAGAUGAAUUUAAAACAGCUUUUAAAACCCACAAUGGCCAGUAUCAGUUCAAAGUAGUGCCAUUUGGAUUGUCAACAGCUCCUGCUACCUUUUAGUGCUUCAUGAACUACAUAUUCAAGGGCUCUAACAGAAAGUUUGUGUUAAUUUUCAUGGAUGAUAUCUUGGUUUUCAGUGGAACUUUGGAAGAACAUGUCACUCACUUGCAAUCAGUAUUUGACAUACUGAAGGAAAACCAGUUGUUUGUAAAGGAAAGCAAGUGCUCUUUUGCACAACAGUCCAUGGAGUAUUUGGGCCACAUAAUUUCUGACAAGGGAGUAAGUACUGAUCCUGCAAAAACUGCUGCAAUGUUGGACUGGCCAACUCACACCAAUGUGACUGAACUGAGGGGUUUUCUGGGUCUCACUGGAUACUACAGAAAAUUUGUGCAAAACUAUGGUUUACUGGCCAAGCCACUCACUACACUGCUCAAAAAACAGUCCUUCCAAUGGUUAGAGACAGCUGAUACAGCCUUUCAGUUGCUCAAGCAAGCUAUGGCCAUAACACCUGUGUUAGCACUUCCAGAUUUCACCAAAACCUUCACCAUAGAGACAGAUGCUUGCAAUACUGGCAUUGGUGCAGUACUCACACAAGCAGGGCGUCCUGUAGCUUAUUACAGCAAAGCUCUAGGGGUGAACUGUCAGAAGGUGUCCAUCUAUGAGAAAGAGUUUUUGGCUAUCAUGAUGGCCAUUGACAGGUGGAGGUCUUACCUGUCUAGAGCUCCCUUUUUGAUCAAAACAGACCACCUGAGUGUGCCACCUAGGAGAUCAGAACUUAACUUCUGAUCUGCAAAGGAAAGCAAGGACCAAUUCUAGUGGGACUGGAUUUCUCCAUCCAGUACAAGAGGGGUGUCGAAAAUACAGCUGCAGAUGCUUUGUCUAGAGUGGCACACCUGUUUUCAGUACAAGCAGCACUGAAGGAACAGUUAGCCGGAGCGCAGAGCAAAUACAAACAGUAUGCGGAUCGUAAGAGGAUUGACAGACAGUUUACUGAAGGAGAGAUGGUCUAUUUGCGGUUGCAACCGUAUGCCCAAUCGUCAGUGGUCAAUCGUCCUUGUCCUAAACUGGCCAUGAAAUACAUUGGUCCCUUCAAGAUUCUCAUCAAGAUCGGACAGGCAGCUUACUGGCUGGAGCUGCCGCGAGGAAGUAUGGUUCACCCGGUCUUCCACGUCUCUCAAUUGAAGGAGCACAUCCCUGACCACACUCCAGUUUUCAGUACAUUGCCAGCACCACUGGACUUGUCUGAUCCAGCCAUGCAACCAAAGGAGAUCAUUGAUCAUCGCUUGGUCAAGAAAGGGAAUGCCGCUCAUCAGCAGGUACUAGUUAAGUGGACAAAGUUUCCUGCAACGGAGGCUACAUGGGAAGACUACCAAGUGCUCCGCAACCGCUACCCAAUUGCACCAGCAUGGGGACAAGCUGGCUCUUCAGGGGAGGGUACUGUCGGUACUAGCGCACUUACAACAGUCAUCAAGCAGAGGACAAGGAAGAUCAGCGCCAAGAAGAAAGCAGAGGAAACGAGCGGGUGAUUCAAAUCGGGUGUUGGGCCGCAAGGGUAGCGUGUGUAAGUGUGGGCCAUGGGCCGGCCCAGUCAUGUAAGUGAGCCGUGCGUAUAUAAGCAAUGCUCGACUACUCUAGCAAGGCAUCGAUGAUAUGAAAUUUAUUCUGAACCUCUCGUUCUCUCUUAUCCUCUUUGAAUCGUCUUCUACCUUCCGACCUCCCCUUCUCUGCCUCUGACCUAGAUCCACCUCCUCUACCAGACUCCGGUCGCCGGAGAGAUCCGACCGUCCCUAGGGCGUGACAAUGUAGUUCGCAUUGAAUCUCUACAAAGACUUAUAUUUAGGAACGGAGGGAGUAUUUAUUAGGCUAUGUAUCCUUGUACUCCAAGUCUUGUGUACUAUAUAUUUGCCCCUUGGGCUAUGCAAUAGAGAUAAGUUGCACCCAUAAUGGUUGUCUUAUCCUUGUGCAAGCCAUGCUCACCACACCGCUGCACCCAUCUUUCAUUUUAUCUCUGUUGAUCCCCCCACCGUGGGACUUCAGGGCUAUUGACAAGAUUCGUAGAGUCUUCUUUCAGAAAGGAACCGAUGCCUUUGCGGGUGGGCAUUGUUUGGUCAGUUGGAAGGUGAUCUGCAGGACAAAGUGAGCCGGUGGCCUCAACAUGCUUGACCUGUAAAUCAUGUGUAGAGCCUUCAAUCUGCGCUGGGAGUGGAGGUUGCAUAUGGCCGCUGACAUUCCUUGGCUUUACUACAGCGCCUCACUGGAGGUUUAAGAAAAGGAUCUAUUCAAUGCUGCAGCAAAGGUUGUGGUUGGCAACGGCGAACACACCUACUUCUGAUGCGAUAAGUGGCUGGAUGGUGUUUCCUUGGACAUGGUCGCACCGGAGAUUGUCGACCUGAUCACCCCCUCAACUAGAGCGUGCAGAAAGGUGUCGAGGCCUUGCUUGAUCCGGCUUGGUUAAAAGACAUAAGGGGCACCUUAACAUCCGUGCUUAUCUUCAAUUACUCGAGCUCUGGGAAAGAGUUUGCAGUUUAAUCUCCACCCGGAGCACAAAGAUAGCUGGUCAUGAUCAUCGGAGCCUAGCGGUAAUUUCUUGGUCAUGUCCGUCUAUGCAGCACACUUUGCCGCUUCCUCUAGGAGCAGCUUCGAUGAGACCAUUUGGAGGGCUAAAGCCCCGCUCAAGUGCAAGCUCCACUUUGCCAAUCGCCUUGCCAAGAGAGAUCUCCCUCAUAACAAGCAAUUUGCCAUGUGCAGUUUCGUGCCUGAGGACUGCAGUCAUCUCUUCGCCGGCUGCACCGUCACCAAUAUAAUUUGGAACUCCAUCCUCCAAUGGGCUAACUUACAGGCGUUUGUCCCCACCAUGGACCAGGGCCUCGUGUCAUGGUGGAUCUCUGCUAGGGAAGCUUACCACGGCAAGGACAGGAAGAGGCUUGAUUGUCGUGGUAGAAAGGAAUGUUUGUGUUUUUUAAAGUACUUUAUUGUGAUCUGCGCCAUAACUUGGUAUUAUAAUUUGCAUAAACCACACAGUUAUAUAAAGUAAACUAUGAUGUUACUUAAGUUGUAUCUGCAAGUUUUGUGGGUGCUUCUACUGCCUACUUCAUGCCAAUAGGUUAUUUUAUAUAAGUGUCGCCGACUUACUACAAAGUUAUAAGCAAAGUUAGUAUAACUUUGUAGUAAAUCGGCGACACUUAUUUUUAGGACGGAGGGAGUACUAUUUUAUGACAUCCAAGAAUGUGAUCACUUUCGGACUCUGUUCUAGCUUUCUGUUUGGUUAGUAAGUGUUGCAUGGUCUCCGUAACUAAAUCUAAGAUGUUUUUGAACUGCAAGAACUUUUUAUAUUUAGUAACAGAGGUAGUACUAAAUAACAUGCAGUAGUAGCAGUUGUGACAGGGGAAUUCGGAAUUGACCAGUGUGGAAGCUAUUUUUGUUUGCAUUGUUUUGACUUUUAACAUAUCCUAGACAUGCAUAGUUGAAUUUAAUAUAUUUAGCUAGUACUCCCUCUGUCUCAAAAUAUAAGACGUCUUUUGACACUGGAGUACAUGUUUUUAAAAUGUUGGCCUUAAUAGUUUUCUUACUCUAAACUAAUGCAA